rnacentral:rRNA from 1 species
GACGAACGCUGGCGGCGUGCUUAACACAUGCAAGUCGAACGGAAAGGCCCUGCUUUUGUGGGGUGCUCGAGUGGCGAACGGGUGAGUAACACGUGAGUAACCUGCCCUUGACUUUGGGAUAACUUCAGGAAACUGGGGCUAAUACCGGAUAGGAGCUCCUGCUGCAUGGUGGGGGUUGGAAAGUUUCGGCGGUUGGGGAUGGACUCGCGGCUUAUCAGCUUGUUGGUGGGGUAGUGGCUUACCAAGGCUUUGACGGGUAGCCGGCCUGAGAGGGUGACCGGGCGGACAGGGAGUGAGAGAGGGGCCAGACGCAGACGGGCGGGAGCCGGAGGGGGGGUAGGAGGCUGGGCGGAAGGCUGAUGCAGCGAGGCAGGGGGCGGGAUGAAGGACGUCGGGCGGGAAGGAGAAUUCAGUAGGGGAGGAGGAAGGCGGGUUGACGGUAAUUGGAGAAGAAGCGCCGGCUAACUACGUG